rnacentral:rRNA from 1 species
GAUGAACGCUGGCGGCGUGCCUAAUACAUGCAAGUCGAGCGAACGGACGAGAAGCUUGCUUCUCUGAUGUUAGCGGCGGACGGGUGAGUAACACGUGGAUAACCUACCUAUAAGACUGGGAUAACUUCGGGAAACCGGAGCUAAUACCGGAUAAUAUUUUGAACCGCAUGGUUCAAAAGUGAAAGACGGUCUUGCUGUCACUUAUAGAUGGAUCCGCGCUGCAUUAGCUAGUUGGUAAGGUAACGGCUUACCAAGGCAACGAUGCAUAGCCGACCUGAGAGGGUGAUCGGCCACACUGGAACUGAGACACGGUCCAGACUCCUACGGGAGGCAGCAGUAGGGAAUCUUCCGCAAUGGGCGAAAGCCUGACGGAGCACCGCCGCGUGAGUGAUGAAGGUCUUCGGAUCGUAAAACUCUGUUAUUAGGGAAGAACAUAUGUGUAAGUAACUGUGCACAUCUUGACGGUACCUAAUCAGAAAGCCACGGCUAACUACGUG